rnacentral:rRNA from 1 species
AUUGAACGCUGGCGGCAUGCUUUACACAUGCAGGUCGAACGGUAACAGGCCGCAAGGUGCUGACGAGUGGCGCGCGGGUGAGUAAUGCAUCGGAACGUGCCCAGUCGUGGGGGAUAACUACUCGAAAGAGUAGCUAAUACCGCAUACGAUCUAUGGAUGAAAGCGGGGGACCGUAAGGCCUCGCGCGAUUGGAGCGGCCGAUGUCAGAUUAGGUAGUUGGUGGGGUAAAGGCUCACCAAGCCAACGAUCUGUAGCUGGUCUGAGAGGACGACCAGCCACACUGGGACUGAGACACGGCCCAGACUCCUACGGGAGGCAGCAGUGGGGAAUUUUGGACAAUGGGCGCAAGCCUGAUCCAGCAAUGCCGCGUGCAGGAAGAAGGCCUUCGGGUUGUAAACUGCUUUUGUACGGAACGAAACGGCUCUGGUUAAUACCCGGGGCUAAUGACGGUACCGUAAGAAUAAGCACCGGCUAACUACGUG